rnacentral:rRNA from 1 species
UGGGGAAUAUUGCACAAUGGGCGCAAGCCUGAUGCAGCCAUGCCGCGUGUGUGAAGAAGGCCUUCGGGUUGUAAAGCACUUUCAGCGGGGAGGAAGGCGAUAAGGUUAAUAACCUUGUCGAUUGACGUUACCCGCAGAAGAAGCACCGGCUAACUCCGUGCCAGCAGCCGCGGUAAUACGGAGGGUGCAAGCGUUAAUCGGAAUUACUGGGCGUAAAGCGCACGCAGGCGGUCUGUCAAGUCGGAUGUGAAAUCCCCGGGCUCAACCUGGGAAGUGCGAUCGAAACUGGCAGGCUAGAGUAUUGUAGAGGGGAGUAGAAUUACAGGUGUAGAGGUAAAGUGCGUAGAGGUGUGGAGGAAUACCGGUGACGAGGGCGGCCCCUGGACAAAGACUGACGCUAAGGUGCGAAGGCGUGGGGAGCAAACAGG